GCGGAAAAGCGAAGAAUGUCGCCCUACAAAAAGCUAAGGCACUCUAUGGAAAAGAUGUUCCAAUUCCAGUAGAGUUUGGGACGAGGUAUAUUAAACCCGUAGGAAAAAAUAGCAAAUUAUGGACUGCAGAAGUUGGCAUCCACACGAGAGAUAAAGAAGCACUACUAAAUUUCAAAACGUGGAGGGAUAUUCCAGAAUCUGAGAGACAGGUCUGCUAUGACCAUUUUAAGGCAUUCAUAUUGAUCUUUGGAAAAACUUGUGCGAUUGGUGGAUGUCACCAGAAUUUCAGAAAAUAAGUGAAAGAAAUAAAGCUAAUCGUUCGAAGAAUGACAUUCCACAUGUUUCAGGAUGGAUGUCAUUCGUUAGACGUUAUGAUGGUUAUGUACGUAAUAUAAAACACUAAUUAUUCAAUUUCAAUCUAUUAUCCAUCUAAACCAUAUAUUUUCCAAUGCUAACUAUUACUUUGUGUUGCAGGUAAAAGAAAGUGAAGAAAGGCAGAGUGAAGUGGAUGGGGAAGUUGAAAGUCACUAGGAGAGUCCUGUUAUUCGCCUAUACAAGGAGACACAUUAUAGGGAAGAAACUGGAUGGGUACAUGAGAAAGCUAAGCAGAACUACGAUGAAAUGAUGGGUAAGGCUUCCCAAAUUUGUCAAAAUUCUGAUAGUACCAGUCCAGUGAGAAAUGAUGUUGAGAUAGUGCAAAACCAACUAGGUAUCAGGAAAGGAUAUCCCCGUGGGUUCGGACAUGGUUUCGUGAUUCCAAGCCAUCAACGUGCAUUCUCAUCUUUUGAAGAGGCUUCUCGUAAAAGAGCAAAAAUUGCUAAGGAAAAUAAUGCACAACUGAAGGAGGAAGUAAAAGGUUUGCGGGAAUAUAUGCAAAGAAUUGAGAAGAUGCUUCAACAGCAACAGCAGCCGCCGCCAUGGUGGCAAUAUCAGCA